rnacentral:rRNA from 1 species
UGGGGAAUCUUGCACAAUGGGCGAAAGCCUGAUGCAGUAACGCCGCGUGCGGGAAGACAGCCCUAGGGUUGUAAACCGCUUUCAGCAGGGAAGAAACUGACGGUACCUGCAGAAGAAGAUGCGGCCAACUACGUGCCAGCAGCCGCGGUGACACGUAGGCAUCAAGCGUUAUCCGGAUUUAUUGGGCGUAAAGAGCUCGUAGGCGGUUCGGUAAGUCGGGUGUGAAAACUCUGGGCUCAACCCAGAGAGGCCACUCGAUACUGCUGUGACUAGAGUGCGGUAGGGGAGCGGGGAAUUCCUGGUGUAGCGGUGAAAUGCGCAGAUAUCAGGAGGAACACCAGUGGCGAAGGCGCCGCUCUGGGCCGUAACUGACGCUGAGGAGCGAAAGCAUGGGUAGCAAACAGGAUUAGAUACCCUGGUAGUCCACGCCGUAAACGAUGAGUGCUAGUCGUCGGCAGGCAUGCCUGUCGGUGACGCAGCUAACGCAUUAAGCACUCCG